rnacentral:rRNA from 1 species
UACAGAGGGUGCGAGCGUUAAUCGGAAUUACUGGGCGUAAAGCGUGCGUAGGCGGCUAUCUAAGUCGGGUGUGAAAGCCCCGGGCUCAACCUGGGAAUUGCAUUCGAGACUGAAUAGCUAGGGUACGGUAGAGGGAAGCGGAAUUUCCGGUGUAGCGGUGAAAUGCGUAGAUAUCGGAAGGAACACCAGUGGCGAAAGCGGCUUCCUGGACCAGUACCGACGUUCAGGCACGAAAGCGUGGGGAGCAAACAGG